GACGAACGCUGGCGGCGUGCUUAACACAUGCAAGUCGAACGGAAAGGCCCGGCUUUUGCUGGUUUCUCGAGUGGCGAACGCGUGUGUAACACGUGAGUAACAUGCCCUUGUAUUUGGGAUAACUUCAGGAAACUGGGGCUAAUACCGGAUAGAAGCUCCUGCUGCAUGGUGUGCGUUGGAAAGUUUCGGCGGUUGGGGAUGGUUUAGAGGGUUAUGCGCUUGUUGGUGAGGUAGUGGCUGACCAAGGCUUUGACGGAUAGCCGGCCUAGGAGGGUGACCGGCCACCUGGGGCCAGAGAGACGGCCCAGACGGCUACGGGCGGCAGCAGUGGAGAAUCUUGCACAAUGGGCGGAAGCGUGAUGCAGCAGCGCCGCGUGCGGGAUGCCGGCCUUCGGGUUGUAAACCGCUGUCGCCUGUGACGAAGCGGGCGUGACGGUAAUGGGUAAAGAAGCACCGGCUAACUACGUG
rnacentral:rRNA from 1 species